AGUGAACGCUGGCGGUAGGCCUAACACAUGCAAGUCGAACGGCAGCACAGUAAGAGCUUGCUCUUACGGGUGGCGAGUGGCGGACGGGUGAGGAAUACAUCGGAAUCUACUUUUUCGUGGGGGAUAACGUAGGGAAACUUACGCUAAUACCGCAUACGACCUACGGGUGAAAGCAGGGGAUCUUCGGACCUUGCGCGAUUGAAUGAGCCGAUGUCGGAUUAGCUAGUUGGCGGGGUAAAGGCCCACCAAGGCGACGAUCCGUAGCUGGUCUGAGAGGAUGAUCGGCCACACUGGAACUGAGACACGGUCCAGACUCCUACGGGAGGCAGCAGUGUGGAAUAGUGGACAAUGGGCGCAAGCCUGAUCCAGCCAUACCGCGUGGGUGAAGAAGGCCUUCGGGUUGUAAAGCCCUUUUGUUGGGAAAGAAAAGCAGCAGGUUAAUACCCCGCUGUUCUGACGGUACCCAAAGAAUAAGCACCGGCUAACUUCGUG
rnacentral:rRNA from 1 species